UACGAAGGGGGCUAGCGUUGCUCGGAAUCACUGGGCGUAAAGCGCACGCAGGCGGACUCUUAAGUCGGUGGUGAAAUCCUGGAGCUCAACUCCAGAACUGCCUUCGAUACUGGGAGUCUCGAGUCCGGGAGAGGUGAGUGGAACUGCGAGUGUAGAGGUGAAAUUCGUAGAUAUUCGCAAGAACACCAGUGGCGAAGGCGGCUCACUGGCCCGGUACUGACGCUGAGGUGCGAAAGCGUGGGGAGCAAACAGG
rnacentral:rRNA from 1 species